UAAGACUGGAAACCAUGUUUAAGAGCAGAUUGUCAUGCUUCAACUAGAGUGCUAGGAGGAAGGAUAAACAGUGGCCUGACCUAAUGAGUAUUAAAUUGUCCUCCAUUACCAGUUUUACAUUGGCCAGUUAGACAGAAAAAGAGUCCAGACCAGAAGGAUCCACUGCAUCAACCAUCCAUGUUUGGCAGGAGGAGAGGUUGGAUUGCCUAUAGACACUGCAGUGAUGAAGAGUUACCCUAUAAACUGAG